rnacentral:rRNA from 1 species
AGUCCCGCAACGAGCGCAACCCUUGCCUCCUGUUGCCAUCAGGUCAAGCUGGGCACUCUGGAGGAACUGCCGGCGAUAAGCCGGAGGAAGGUGGGGAUGACGUCAAGUCCUCAUGGCCUUUAUGUCCCGGGCUACACACGUGCUACAUUGGCUGGUACAAAGGGUCGCAAAGCCGCGAGGUGGAGCUAAUCCCAAAAAGCCAGUCCCAGUUCGGAUCGUAGUCUGCAACUCGACUGCGUGAAGCUGGAAUCGCUAGUAAUCGCGGAUCAGCAUGCCGCGGUGAAUACGUUCCCGGGCCUUGUACACACCGCCCGUCACAUCACGAAAGCUGGCUGUACUAGAAGUCGCUG